GGCUGGUUGGUGAAGUGGCCUAACACACUGGUUUUAGGCACCAGGAUUCCUGGGUUCGAAUCCCAGACUAGUCA